GAUGAACGCUGGCGGCGUGCCUAAUACAUGCAAGUCGAGCGAACAGACGAGGAGCUUGCUCCUCUGACGUUAGCGGCGGACGGGUGAGUAACACGUGGAUCACCUACCUAUAAGACUGGGAUAACUUCGGGAAACCGGAGCUAAUACCGGAUAAUAUAUUGAACCGCAUGGUUCAAUAGUGAAAGACGGUUUUGCUGUCACUUAUAGAUGGAUCCGCGCCGCAUUAGCUAGUUGGUAAGGUAACGGCUUACCAAGGCAACGAUGCGUAGCCGACCUGAGAGGGUGAUCGGCCACACUGGAACUGAGACACGGUCCAGACUCCUACGGGAGGCAGCAGUAGGGAAUCUUCCGCAAUGGGCGAAAGCUUGACGGAGCAACGCCGCGUGAGUGAUGAAGGUCUUCGGAUCGUAAAACUCUGUUAUUAGGGAAGAACAAAUGUGUAAGUAACUAUGCACGUCUUGACGGUACCUAAUCAGAAAGCAACGGCUAACUACGUG
rnacentral:rRNA from 1 species